CGGGGUGAGUAAUGUCUAGGGAAACUGCCUGAUGGAGGGGGAUAACUGCUGGAAACGGUAGCUAAUACCGCAUAACGUCGCAAGACCAAAGAGGGGGACCUUCGGGCCUCUUGCCAUCGGAUGUGCCCAGAUGGGAUUAGCUAGUAGGUGGGGUAACGGCUCACCUAGGCGACGAUCCCUAGCUGGUCUGAGAGGAUGACCAGCCACACUGGAACUGAGACACGGUCCAG
rnacentral:rRNA from 1 species